rnacentral:rRNA from 1 species
UCUUCCUACGGGAGGCAGCAGUCGGGAAUAUUGCGCGAUGGAGGAAACUCUGACGCAGUGACGCCGCGUAUAGGACGAAGGUCUUCGGAUUGUAAACUAUUGUCGUUAGGGAAGAGAAAGGACAGUACCUAAGGAGGAAGCUCCGGCUAACUACGUGCCAGCAGCCUCGGUAAUACGUAGGGAGCAAGCGUUAUCCGGAUUUAUUGGGUGUAAAGGGUGCGUAGACGGGAAAUUGAGUUAGUUGUGAAAUCCUUCGGCUCAACUGAGGAACUGCAGCUAGAACUGGAUUUCUUGCGUGUUGGAGA